rnacentral:lncRNA from 1 species
UGUAGCUGUUGAUGCUUUCUGGUAAGAUGUGUGUAAUUUACUCCUUAUUGCCAAACAUGAACUCAAAAUGAGGACUUCUACCUAGAAGAUAUUCAUAACAGUGCCCUGAGAUCAAAGUAUGCUGGCAGUGUAGAGGCACGGCCUGCUGGAAGAGUAGUUUCAUCUCUGGAUUUCUAGUUUUUCGCACUGUGGAAGGAAAAGCUCAUCAGGCUAAUAACAAUGAAGACUGCUGUAUUUGCCAGGCACUGUCUAAACCGCUUCCCAGGCAUCAAGCAGACAGCAAACGUCCGCAGCGAGCUCUAGUUCAUAGCAUCAUAGAACACAGAAUCAUUAAAGUUGGAAAAGACUGCUAAGAUCAUUUAGUCCAGCCAU